GCUAUUUUCUUAGGGUACAACAGCAGUGUCUCCUGAGAUCCGAGCCAUGUUGGAACUGAGGACUCUGGGAAGCCAAGCAAGCACCUCCCCUCCCUGAGUGGUAAGUGGCCGAGAAAACAGCCUCUUUUAAGAGUCACUAUCCAGACACUGGAAUACAACAUUGUGAGGAAGCCAGGAAGAAAGUGGGCCCUCUGGACCCGGGAAGAAUCUGACGUGUGCAUUGAAGCCCACAGAGAGAAUGAAAAGAAAAACUUCAGUGAAGAAGAAGGCGGUAGCUGGUGGCGCCUUCUCCCAGAGCCGGAUCACUGUAUGAGAGGACUUGUUCAAACCUGGAGACCCACAGUCCUGGUGACAGUGACAGCUGAUGACCCCCGCGGCCCCUGCAGAGAUGUGCAGUGGAGGGGAGCAGUGGACUUGGAGGACUGCGCUGGCUGGUGGUAAGUGCAAAGUACUUAGUCCUCCCAUGGGAGACUGAUUGGCUGGAGCCAUUUUGGAGAUGGGACUUUCAGCCCAGAACCAAAACUGCUGCUGAUUUCCUCUAGCAGCUCCCAGCUCCCAUGGAAAUUGCUUGAACUGCGGUGAGCCCAAUGAGUCUGGUCUCAUCCGGGCCUGCUGAGGCUUCCACUACUCCACCAUAAAGCAACUGCUGGCUUGCUGGGACAGAGUGGCACGGUUCAGGACUCCAUCUCCACGGGCUGGCUACUAGUGAAACCACAGAGAAUCCUGGAAGUGGACUAUUUGUUUUUCUUUUUCUUUUCCAUUUUUUAGUUGUUGUUUGUUUUGUUUUUAGUGUCCUCUUGGGGUUUUUUUUUCUUUCUCCUUCAUUUUCUUUAUGAGUGUGAGAAUGGUUCCUAACCUCUUUGUGGGUGUGGUUCUGUUCUGCUCUUUUUUGUAUCUCUCCCAUCUCUCUUUUCCUUUGUCUUCUCCAUCAGUUUCCCUAGGUUGGUGUGAUCCCAUUUUGUCCUCCAGCCUUACUUGUAACCUCAUUUUCUUCUUCCACUUCUCUAUUUUUUCCUUAAUCCAUUUUAAAUUUUAAAACCGAGGGAAAAAUGGACACAUUACUUAUAUAUUGCAUAUAAUUAUCAGGUUUGUUUUACAGUUUGUAUUAUAAUCACAAAUCUAGUUCAUACAGUUAAAAUUUGCAAAUUAAGUGUUGGAUCACUUUGUUGUUUUAUAGACUUUGUUUGAGGCUACUUGUAGCACUACAGCCAAAACUGACAUAAUUGUUCUAAAGAGCUGUUUGUCUUGAUAAUCCAUGAUUGAGAUUAACUAAAGGUCACAGGAAAUACAGUGGUACAGUGCCAAAAACCAGAUCUAGGCCAAAUAAGCAACAACUUCUCCUCUCCAACAAACUGAAGAGGAAAGACCUUCCAACAAACUCAAAACUCAAAAACACCAGCUACACCUGGAAGACACCUCAGAGAAGUAACCAUCACCUAAGGGUCCUAAUACCACCAAUAAAGCAGCCUGCCAUAGGCAACUUACAAAAGCAUCACCUCAGGAAUUAAACAAAAAAAGAAAAGAAAUAAAAACACACUUAAACAAUACACAACCCAUACAUCCAGUCCACCAAAGGCAAACCCAGGGGGCAAUGAGGUGGGACAAUCUGAGAGCCCCCCACCAACAAACAACAAAGCAAUUGAACGAGGCUCUGGAAAAAAUGCAAUCAGAAAUAUUCUCUUAAAUAACUACAGAGAUUACCAAAAUACACAUCAUGCUUAGUGAUGUCAGAGCAGACACAGACAAAAAAAAUAAGCAAAGUAUAGAAGUAUAGCAUAGGAAAAAAAUGGAAUCCAUUAAGCCAAUUCAAGCAGAUAUCCAGAAUAAAAAUUCCACUGAAGGUAUUUAGAGCAGAUUAGGCCACUGUGAGGACAGGAUCUCAGAUACUGAAGACAGGCUUGCCCAGUUAGUGACCAGGAAAAAAAAGAUUUCUCAAAAAUAGCAAAAACCCAUGAGAAAUCCAUCCAGGAGCUGCUAGAAGAGACAAAGAAUAAUUUAAGAUUAAUUGGAGUCAAUCAAUAAACAGGAUACCACAAAUGACAUUAAAAAAUGUUUCACAGACAUCAUAACAGAAAACUUUCCUGAGAAAAAGAAUUUGACAUAGAGAUAAAUGAGGCAUCUAGAACUCCAAUUAGCAAUGAUCAAAAAAAAAAAAUCUACAGCCAGGCAUAUCACAGUCAAUCAACAUUUCAGAAAUUCAACACAAGAAUAGAAUCGUAAAAGUUGUUGUGUGUGUGGGGGGGGGGGAAGUUAGGGGAAAGAAAUAAAUCAUCUAUUGAAGGAAAGCCCAUCAGAAUCACAGCUAAUUUCUCAGCACAAACUUUCACGUUAAGGAGAGUUUGAAGUACCCCAAGUUCUAAAAUAGUAACUUUCAACCUAGACUGAUGUAUUCCCACAAACACUAUCUUUCAAAAUUGAUGGGAAAAUAAGAUACUUCCAUGACAAAGAACAUCUGAGGAAUUCUAUUGAAGAUAACAAGAGACAUCAUAGUAACCACUGUAGAUCACCUAGUAUUGUGGUUUAAAUGUCUUUUUCAUUUCGUGUUUUUCUAGGAAUUUGUUUUUUGUCUGGUUUUGAUUUGUUUUUUCCUCUAAUACAGAAAGGAUAGAUAUACAUGUAGAGACUCAUGCAUGUGUAGAACUUCUAACAGUUUAUGAGAAUUGAUUAUAUAAUGCAUGAUGAAAUAAACAAAUACUUUGAAGAAAGAGACACCAAGGUACCCAGUAGCAUCAUGACAUAAUUCUGUAGCAUCAUGACAUAAAAUCUAGCAAUACUAUUUUAUGGCAGCCAUUGCUGAUUUCCCUAUUGUCUGGUCUUGAAGACCUAAAAUGCCUUCAUCAUCCUGUUCAGAUAAGUUUAAUACUAUUUUGUUUGGUAUGAAUUCACGUAUGUGAAGUUAUGGACAACUAUUUGGAAGAAAAAAGAGACAAUAUGAUAGACAAUGAAGAUCUCUGAUGCUCUUGCUUUGAAA